rnacentral:rRNA from 1 species
CACGUAGGGGACGAGCGUUGUCCGGAUUCAUUGGGCGUAAAGCGCGCGUAGGCGGCUCGGCAAGUCGGUCGUGAAAUGCCGGGGCUCAACCCCGGGACUGCGUCCGAUACUCCCGAGCUGGAGGCAGGUAGGGGAGAUCGGAAUUCCUGGUGUAGCGGUGAAAUGCGCAGAUAUCAGCAGGAACACCGGUGGCGAAGGCGGAUCUCUGGGCCUUGCCUGACGCUGAGGCGCGAAAGCUAGGGGAGCGAACAGG